rnacentral:rRNA from 1 species
GAUGAACGCUGGCUACAGGCUUAACACAUGCAAGUCGAGGGGAAACGGCGUUGGGUGCUUGCACCGAAUGGACGUCGACCGGCGCACGGGUGAGUAACGCGUAUCCAACCUUCCCGUUACUGCGGGAUAACCUGCCGAAAGGCAGACUAAUACCGCAUGUUCUUCGAUGACGGCAUCAGAUUCGAAGCAAAGAUCCGUCGGUAACGGAGGGGGAUGCGUCUGAUUAGCUUGUUGGCGGGGCGACGGCCCACCAAGGCGACGAUCAGUAGGGGUUCUGAGAGGAAGGUCCCCCACAUUGGAACUGAGACACGGUCCAAACUCCUACGGGAGGCAGCAGUGAGGAAUAUUGGUCAAUGGGCGGAAGCCUGAACCAGCCAAGUAGCGUGCAGGAUGACGGCCCUACGGGUUGUAAACUGCUUUUAUGCGGGGAUAAAGUGAGGGACGCGUCCCUUUUUGCAGGUACCG